rnacentral:rRNA from 1 species
CUACGUGCCAGCAGCCGCGGUAAUACGUAGGUCCCGAGCGUUGUCCGGAUUUAUUGGGCGUAAAGCGAGCGCAGGCGGUUAGAUAAGUCUGAAGUUAAAGGCUGUGGCUUAACCAUAGUACGCUUUGGAAACUGUUUAACUUGAGUGCAAGAGGGGAGAGUGGAAUUCCAUGUGUAGCGGUGAAAUGCGUAGAUAUAUGGAGGAACACCGGUGGCGAAAGCGGCUCUCUGGCUUGUAACUGACGCUGAGGCUCGAAAGCGUGGGGAGCAAACAGGAUUAGAUACCUUGGUAGUCCACGCCGUAAACGAUGAGUGCUAGGUGUUAGAUCCUUUCCGGGGUUUAGUGCCGCAGCUAACGCAUUAAGCACUCCGCCUGGGGAGUACGACCGCAAGGUUGAAACUCAAAGGAAUUGACGGGGGCCCGCACAAGCGGUGGAGCAUGUGGUUUAAUUCGAAGCAACGCGAAGAACCUUACCAGGUCUUGACAUCCCUCUGACCGCUCUAGAGAUAGAGCUUUC